AAAGGACCCUGAGAGAGAUGUGCCCCACGAGGACAUGUGGAGUGGCAGGCUCCUAGGAUUUCCAGGGUCCAGCACCGCCUUCCCUCCUGAAAGAGCUGUUGCGUGUAGAACGUGAAUAUUCAAAAGGCUUUAACCGAUACUUUAAAGAAAGAUUAAUCUGCGGUGAGAAAAGGAGCCCCGGUACUAAAGAUGAUGGAUAUCUUACGUAGUUGAAUGAGAAUCAGGGCUGGCUUAAGGAUCUAUUCCAGCGCUGCUAAUUAAUUGUGAGUAAGUAAUUGAUUCACUUCCUUUGAAAAAAAAGACUAACGAGACCAUAUGUGGGUUGGUAGUUAUGUAAAACGACAGCAGAAACAUUCUACAAGGCAGAUUCUUGCCCCUUGAUAAGCUGGCUUCUUGAAUUCUUCCUAUUUAUUAGGGACUGCGUUGCUUACCAGUUCCGGUCGGUUUUUUUUUUUUGCCCCCCCCUUCUUUUGAUUUAGGAAAUGAGUAUGAAUGCUUUAUUGAUGUUUUCCCACUUUUUGACACACGAAGGGCCACCUUGAAAAAGAAACUAGUUGGCCUUUCUGUAUGAAGGAAUAGAUGUAUUUUAUAUUUGAGUUCAUUUGCAUUUUGGAGCAGAGAAAUUAUUGGAUGUGAUUGUGGCCGCCAUAGUUCCUCCCUGGGGCUUGCUUAAAAACAGGGGCGUCUGUCCCAGGCCUUUGGAGUGAUCACCUUUCCCUGUCUUUUCUUCUUUCAUCUUUUCUGAGUCAGGAACACAACCGUGGGGAAACGUUUUUAGGGAGUUGGGCGUCAGGGGGGGCUUUGUUCGUUUUUGAGCCCACUUUUAAGCCUAGUUUCACCCAAGUGAAUUUCUAUGCAAAUUCAGUAGAUUUGUGGUACCAAGCCCAAAUCAGACACGAAAUUAUAAUAGAAAGGCAAGCCCAGGGUCUUAAGGGAAAAAAGACAAUUAGCUUUAUGAAGAUACUAAUUUGGGGGAAUGUACUGCUCCUCACACUGAAGCUCUGAAAAGUGUUUUCCUUUUCCCUUCUUGUGAACACCGCUAUCCUGUGAGCUCCCCAAAGCCAGUGGCAAGUUUUUUUUUUUUUUUGUUCCUGAUUGUGGGCGACCCGGGAGUUGGGCAACCAGCUCCUCCCGUCCCCUCCCCUCUCCGGGCGCACCUUGCGAGGGGGGGAGGCAGCGAGGGGGGUUGGCGGUGCGCCUGCGCGCUGCGCUGUGCUCGCAGCCCCCCCCACUCCAGAAUACCUGUCACUGGAACCGCCCGGGCGCGAGCGCGCCACGUU
ensembl:lncRNA